UAAAGUUACUUCGUUUUAGUAGUGUUGUUCACAACUCACAAUAUAUAGUUGAAAGCUGAACCAAUAAUGUCUUAGUCCACAGCCAAAGAAAAAUAAAGAAGAAAGAAGGAAGAAGAUAGACUUGACUUUACUUUGCUUAGUGCUUACACCGCUGAUCGUCACUUUCGCUUUAAAGUUUUGUGGAAUCCUCUCAUGCUCUUGAAUUAGAUCCAUGUGGUAGCUAGAAAGCAUGCUCCUUCUUCAGAGUUAUACACAGGAGUUGAACGAGCAAAGAAUAUUUGGUCUGGUGGGAUCAUCUUCAUUUUUGCAACUACCAUUGAUUCAACUAGGAUUGUUCCUUUCCGUUCUUGAGAUUCAAAACCCAAAUAAUUGGUUGGUUAAGGAAGAAAGGUAUUUAUCAUUUUGACCAAUUCCACCGUGAUAGUUCUGGUUUUCGUAUUAGCAUAUCGUUGUUAUUC